rnacentral:rRNA from 1 species
UACGUAGGUGACAAGCGUUGUCCGGAUUUACUGGGCGUAAAGAGCGCGCAGGCGGUCGAUCAAGUCGAGUGUGAAAGCCCCCGGCUCAACUGGGGAGGGUCAUUCGAUACUGAUCGACUCGAAGGCAGGAGAGGGUAGUGGAAUUCCCGGUGUAGUGGUGAAAUGACGUAGAUAUCGGGAGGAACACCAGUGGCGAAGGCGACUACCUGGCCUGUUCUUGACGCUGAGGCGCGAAAGCUAGGGGAGCAAACGGGG